rnacentral:rRNA from 1 species
UACGUAGGUGACAAGCGUUGUCCGGAUUUACUGGGCGUAAAGAGCGCGCAGGCGGUCGUUCAAGUCGAGUGUGAAAGCCCCCGGCUCAACUGAGGAGGGUCAUUCGAUACUGAUCGACUCGAAGGCAGGAGAGGGAAGUGGAAUUCCCGGUGUAGUGGUGAAAUGCGUAGAUAUCGGGAGGAACACCAGUGGCGAAGGCGACUUCCUGGCCUGUUCUUGACGCUGAGGCGCGAAAGCUAGGGGAGCAAACGGG